rnacentral:antisense_RNA from 1 species
ACAAUACUCAUCCAGGCGGAUGGCCCACCAGCGCAAAGGGCUGAAAAGUUCCAUGGCAGCCUCAUAACUGGAGGGUGUGUCCAUGAGGAGGGUUUCGAUGACACGCUGAAAACUCGGGCAGAUUUCCGCAGAAGCUGCAACACAGAGGAGAGAAGGCACAUGUCUCCAGGCCCCUUUCCAAGCUGGCUAGCCCUCUGGCUGGGUCUGCCCAGAUGCGAACAGCCAGGCCCAUCAGCGAGAGAUAGCAGCCUUUUCAUCGAUGGACUAGAGCAUAAGAUCUGCUGGUGCUCUAAGAGGUUGCCUAUUUGGUGCUGUGCAAAUACUUUCUGGGUUAUGGCCAGCUUUUUGUGGAUUGCCCGAGUCUUCCUUAGACUUCUUGGGUUGAGGUGAGCAAGGUUCCGUUUUUCUUUCUGUUGGAGAUCAAGGCAGAGUAUUGAUAAUAGAGGCUGCUGGCCUGAUUUUUUAAUGCAGUGUGGAGGCUGGGAAGAGGCCACUGAGGGUUUUGUUUCCCACCAGAAACUUGCCUCUCAUCAGUGCUUAGAGAUGCCCUGAGCCAUGCUUCACUGGGGGCAUGUGA